CCCCGCCCCGCUCUCCCGCCCCGCACCGCCGCUCGCUCGCUCCCCCCGCGGGACUUACUUCAUUUGCUUCACGAUGGUGCUUUUUCCCGACUCUCCGGCUCCUGUUGGAAGAGAGAUGAGGUCUGUCAUGCCACGGAGAGAAGAACGGGAUGUAUUCUGAGGAAAGUGACAAAUGCCAGAGAGAAGAUCUGCAGGAGGAGCUGAGGAGAACUGCAUGUACCAGGGCUGGAGGAGGUCCUGGGGCUGGUCUGUCUACCAGUCCCAGAAGACAGCAGCUCAAUGAAAGCACUGCUCUGUGCUGUGGUUCAAACCAAUGAUUUCCUGAGGAUCCGCAUCAGUUUCUGCACAAUAAAGUGUUUUUAAAUAUAAAGGUUUCUACUA